CUGACUGCGGGUUCAAGAUUUUGGAUUGCAUUUUGAGCUAUAGUAAAGAUGGCGCCUCCUAGCAAACGGUCCAGGGCGGCCAAGAAGAGAGAGGCUGACUUGAGGUCUACUGAGGUGCCGAGCAAGAGGUCCCCGGUGGCAGACACACAGGUUGACUUGGUCUCCUGUGACAAGGUUGGGCGUCCUUGUAUAAAAAAAGCCCAAACACUUUCUGAAAACAUGCCAAAUAACAUGCCACAUGACGUGCCACAUGACGUGCCACAUAACAUGCCAAAUAACGUGCCACAUGACGUGCCACAUGACGUGCCACAAAACAUGCCAAAUAACAUGCCAAAUGAAAUGCCAAACAAAAUGUCAAACAAAGACUGCCAUCAAAGAUUGCCAUCAAAGAUUGCCAACAAAACAUCUGCCAAUGAUAUGCCAAACUCUCCUCUGACUCGAUCAGACUCUCUCCCAAACUCUCCUCUGACUCUCUCAGACUCUGUCCCAAACUCUCCACUCACUCUCUCUGACUCUCUACCCCUCUCUAAGUCUCAUGCCUCUUAUGGAAACUCAGUGCCAUGCUGUGUGAAUAAACAAACUGUAACUAAUGAUUGUUCCUGUUUGACUCAAUCUGAUGACUUUCCAGAGAGAUCUGUGCUGAUGGGGUCCUUUCAUCAAGGCCAUUCACGGUUUGGAAAUGUGCGCAACAAGCAGUGUGGUGCCAUCAGUUUGACUGCUGUUUUGAAGUCCAAGAUGAAGGACGUGUGGAGCUGGGAAACUGGAGAUAUUGAUGAUGUUUUGAUUAAGGGAACUGUUCUGUACAGGUCAAUGAGUGCUCAGGGCAAAAUCAGAGACCAUGGAAGAGGCUACAUUGCUGUGUCUGAAUUGCCAAGGCAAUAUGAAGUGUGGAAUUGUGGUUUCUCAAUAAACUUUGCUGAAUCCUA